rnacentral:sRNA from 1 species
GAUGUCUCCCGUAAAAAAGAUGCUUCAAACUAUAAUUGGCGAAAAUAACUUCGCACUUGCCGCCUAAGCACUCUGAAUGAGGCUUUGAGCUAAUCUAAGCGUAAGACGCUAGAGCAAGUCAUCCUUCCGAACCUAAGUCUGGUUGGUUUAGAUCAAGGGGUGUCAUUAAAUCCGGACUAACGAGUAAGGCGUUACGUAGUACUCGCGAAAUUUAAUCCGUAACUAAGCUAGUA